UGAGAUGCCGGCGGUGCAGUAAACGAGGAUGAAAAUCAUGCCGCCGAAGGCCCAAGCGAUGCCGAGGAUGCCAACGCCGCCGCAAGGGUCGGUGGUGUUAGCGGGGUCGGUUUGGCUGCUGUAGCCGAUGACGGUGAGGACGGUGAUGUAGAGGAAGAGCAGGGUGGCGACGAACUCGGCGAUGAGGGCUCUGUAGAAGGACCACUUGGUGAGCUCGGUGGUGUCGAAGAGCGGUGCUGGUGGUGGGUCAUGGUAGUCCUUGUGUGCCAACUGAUCACCUCGCGGUGCUUCGGUUUCGAUGUCUUUCGCCAUGGGAGGAGGAGGAAGAAGAAGAACAGAGAGUGGAGUGUUUUUCUCUCAGA
rnacentral:lncRNA from 1 species